UGAGAAGCCGGCCAGAUGAAUAUGCACCGUUCUUCUUCCCUCGCAUUAGCUAUGGCGUUCCUAGCUAUCGUUUACUGUUUCAUGCCGCCGCCAUGCUCAGCAGCGUUCCAAGAAGGUGCGUAAAGAACUGUGUGCAUGCCAUUUUUGUAAGGGAAUUUCUAAAAUUAGGCGGCCGGAAUGAUGAUUGAUCAUGUUCAUAGGUGUAGCUGUUCUGGACGGAUCCCGUAUCAAUGGACCUCCGUCGCCGCGGUACGGGCCGCCGAGGCAGCCAGGCUAUGAGCCCCCGGCCGCUGCUGCCACUUCUGCCACAGCGUAAGACCGUGUAGGCGGCUGCUAAGGCCCCUCACGCAUAAAGUAGACCGGAAAUCAGAGUGUAUACAGUGGUAAAUAAAAUCCGGAUGAUUUGUGAUAUUAAUAAUUAGUUGUGAAAGUUAUGAAUAAAGCCACGUUGUUAUGUGCGU
rnacentral:lncRNA from 1 species